ACUGAAGUUCCCAGAGAAAAAGCCUCACACAGUGAAGACUGCUCUGCUGACUGAUUGGAACUCCAUGACUGUAGAGAGUUGGAACGUUACAGAUCCAGACAUCUUUGGCCAUCUUUAGUCCCAUCAGUGGCCAUUUAACACCCACCUUCUGUGUCUGACCUGGUGUCCUUUCCACUCUCAGGCCCAGAACCAGGGCUAUGAGUUAGCCCACCCCAACAUUCACCCCAUCUAUGAUCUGAAGGAGCACGUGAAGGGGCCUGUUCUGCAGAUCCAAAGCUGCAGGGUCUCCAGGACACAGAGCAACAACAGGAUAACCAUGAGGAGCCCCAGUGAGGGCCCAGUAGCAACAGCAUGGCAGAAACCAGAGGCCUCAAAUCAGACCAAUGACUCUUUGCAAAGAACUCUUGCAAGAAAAGAAAUGUGGACAAAAGGGUCUACUGUGUGACUCACUGUGGCAUACUACAGCUUCCAUGAUGAGAUUUUUCUUUCUUUCUUUUUCUUUUUUCUCUCAAACUUUAUUUUAUUUGACUUUGGUGG
rnacentral:lncRNA from 1 species